rnacentral:rRNA from 1 species
AUACGUAGGGCGCAAGCGUUGUCCGGAAUUAUUGGGCGUAAAGAGCUCGUAGGCGGUUUGUCACGUCUGCUGUGAAAACCCGAGGCUCAACCUCGGGCUUGCAGUGGGUACGGGCAGACUAGAGUGCGGUAGGGGAGACUGGAAUUCCUGGUGUAGCGGUAAAAUGCACAGAUAUCAGGAGGAACACCGAUGGCGAAGGCAGGUCUCUGGGCCGCAACUGACGCUGAGGAGCGAAAGCGUGGGUAGCAAACAGGAUUAGAUACCCUGGUAGUCCACGCCGUAAACGUUGGGCACUAGGUGUGGGGCUCAUUCCACGAGUUCCGCGCCGUAGCUAACGCAUUAAGUGCCCCGCCUGGGGAGUACGGUCGCAAGGCUAAA